rnacentral:rRNA from 1 species
GGGAGGCAGCAGUGAGGAAUAUUGGACAAUGGAGGCAACUCUGAUCCAGCCAUGCCGCGUGUAGGAAGACUGCCCUAUGGGUUGUAAACUACUUUUAUAUGGGAAGAAUAAGGAUCUCGUGAGGUCUGAUGACGGUACCAUAAGAAUAAGCACCGGCUAACUCCGUGCCAGCAGCCGCGGUAAUACGGAGGGUGCAAGCGUUAUCCGGAAUCAUUGGGUUUAAAGGGUCCGUAGGCGGGCAUAUAAGUCAGUGGUGAAAGUCUGUGGCUCAACCAUAGAAUUGCCAUUGAUACUGUAUGUCUUGAAUUAUUGUGAAGUGGUUAGAAUAUGUAGUGUAGCGGUGAAAUGCUUAGAGAUUACAUAGAAUACCGAUUGCGAAGGCAGAUCACUAACAAUAUAUUGACGCUGAUGGACGAAAGCGUAGGUAGCGAACAGGAUUAGAUACCCUGGUAGUCUACGCCGUAAACGAUGGAUACUAGUUGUUUGGUUUUCGGACUGAGUGACUAAGCGAAAGUGAUAAGUAUCCCACCUGGGGAGUACGUUCGCAAGAAUGAAACUCAAA